AAGGGUAUAGCUCAGUGGUACAGCACAUACUUAGCAUGCUCAAGGUCCUGGGUUCAAUCCCCAGUACCUCCA
rnacentral:tRNA from 1 species